rnacentral:rRNA from 1 species
CAGUCGCCGCGGUAAUACGUAGGGUGCGAGCGUUAAUCGGAAUUACUGGGCGUAAAGCGUGCGCAGGCGGUUGUGUAAGACAGGUGUGAAAUCCCCGGGCUUAACCUGGGAACUGCGCUUGUGACUGCACAGCUAGAGUAUGGCAGAGGGGGGUGGAAUUCCACGUGUAGCAAUGAAAUGCGUAGAGAUGUGGAGGAACACCGAUGGCGAAGGCAGCCCCCUGGGCCAAUACUGACGCUCAUGCACGAAAGCGUGGGGAGCAAACAGGAUUAGAUACCCGCGUAGUCCCUGUCUCUUAUAC